AAUGAACGCUGGCGGCAGGCCUAACACAUGCAAGUCGAACGGAUCCUUCGGGAUUAGUGGCGGACGGGUGAGUAACGCGUGGGAACAUACCCUUUGGUACGGAAUAGCCUCGGGAAACUGGGAGUAAUACCGUAUGUGGUCGAGAGACGAAAGAUUUAUCGCCAAAGGAUUGGCCCGCGUUGGAUUAGGUAGUUGGUGGGGUAAUGGACUACCAAGCCGACGAUCCAUAGCUGGUUUGAGAGGAUGAUCAGCCACACUGGGACUGAGACACGGCCCAGACUCCUACGGGAGGCAGCAGUGGGGAAUCAUAGACAAAGGGGGAAACCCUGAUCUAGCCAUGCCGCGUGAUCGAUGAAGGCCUUAGGGUUGUAAAGAUCUUUCAGGUGGGAAGAUAAUGACUGUACCACCAGAAGAAGCCCCGGCUAACUCCGUGCCAGCCGCCGCCGUAACAC
rnacentral:rRNA from 1 species